GACGAACGCUGGCGGCGUGCUUAACACAUGCAAGUCGAACGGAAAGGCCCUGCUUGCAGGGUACUCGAGUGGCGAACGGGUGAGUAACACGUGGGUGAUCUGCCCUGCACUUCGGGAUAAGCCUGGGAAACUGGGUCUAAUACCGGAUAGGAGCCAUUUUUAGUGUGAUGAUUGGAAAGUUUUUUCGGUGUAGGAUGAGCUCGCGGCCUAUCAGCUUGUUGGUGGGGUAAUGGCCUACCAAGGCGGCGACGGGUAGCCGGCCUGAGAGGGUGGACGGCCACAUUGGGACUGAGAUACGGCCCAGACUCCUACGGGAGGCAGCAGUGGGGAAUAUUGCACAAUGGGCGCAAGCCUGAUGCAGAGACGCCGCGUGGGGGAUGACGGCCUUCGGGUUGUAAACUCCUUUCGCUAGGGACGAAGCUUUUUGUGACGGUACCUAGAUAAGAAGCACCGGCUAACUACGUG
rnacentral:rRNA from 1 species